UACGUAGGUGGCAAGCGUUGUCCGGAAUUAUUGGGCGUAAAGCGCGCGCAGGCGGUUUCUUAAGUCUGAUGUGAAAGCCCCCGGCUCAACCGGGGAGGGUCAUUGGAAACUGGGAAACUUGAGUGCAGGAGAGAAGAGCGGAAUUCCACGUGUAGCGGUGAAAUGCGUAGAGAUGCGGAAGAACACCAGUGGCGAAGGCGGUCAACUGGCCUCAUAUUGACACUCAGACGCGAAGGCAUGGGUAGCGAACGGG
rnacentral:rRNA from 1 species